rnacentral:rRNA from 1 species
UACGUAGGGCGCAAGCGUUGUCCGGAAUUAUUGGGCGUAAAGAGCUCGUAGGCGGCUUGUCACGUCGAUUGUGAAAGCCCGAGGCUUAACCUCGGGUCUGCAGUCGAUACGGGCAAACUGGAGUGUUGCAGGGGAGACUGGAAUUCCUGGUGUAGCGGUGAAAUGCGCAGAUAUCAGGAGGAACACCGGUGGCGAAGGCGGGUCUCUGGGCAACAACUGACGCUGAGGAGCGAAAGCGUGGGGAGCGAACAGG